rnacentral:ncRNA from 1 species
GAAAUCUAGAAGUUCUUGAUGUUCUGUAGAAUAUCAGUAAUGUUUGAACACGAUGUUCAAACAAGCCGCCACUGAGCCAUGGAUGGCGAAUUGGCGGCGGUUACGUACGAUAUGAAUAAGUGCAUCAGAACAUCUUAGAACUUCUUGGUUUCA